GGGGAUAUAGCUCAGUGGUAGAGUACAUGCCUACUAACGUACACAAGGUUCUGGGCUCAAUCCCCAGCACCUCCA
rnacentral:tRNA from 1 species